AGUGUUCUGGGCGCAGGGUCCAGGUGCAGACGUGGGGAGAAUAUAUAUUUAUAAAAAUAAAUAGCAUUAAUGCUGAAUCAUCGCAUUAAUGUGAUGUGAUUGGUACCAUCACCAAAGAGAGAAAUUUAAAAAAAUGAAAACAAGUGAACUCAUCGUGUG